rnacentral:rRNA from 1 species
CCUACGGGAGGCAGCAGUGAGGAAUAUUGGUCAAUGGACGAGAGUCUGAACCAGCCAAGUAGCGUGAAGGAUGACUGCCCUAUGGGUUGUAAACUUCUUUUAUAUGGGAAUAAAAUGUUCAACGUGUGGGAUUUUGUAUGUACCUUAUGAUUAAGGAUUGGCUAACUCGGUGCCAGCAGCCGCGGUAAUACGGAGGAUCCGAGCGUUAUCCGGAUUUAUUGGGUUGAAGGGGAGGGUAGGUGGAUUGUAAAGUCAGUUGUGAAAGUUUGCGGUUCAAGCGUAAAAUUGCAGUUGAAACUGGCAGUCUUGAGUACAGUAGAGGUGGGCGGAAUUCGUGGUGUAGCGGUGAAAUGCUUAGAUAUCACGAAGAACUCCGAUUGCGAAGGCAGCUCACUGAACUGCAACUGACACUGAGGCUCGAAAGUGUGGGUAUCAAACAGGAUUAGAUACCCGGGUAGUC